AGCCUUGGUGGUCUCACCAACUUUUGUGAUUGUCCAAACCGCCUAUUAUAUUUUUUAAUAGCUCCCGGCAGCGGAAAGCGAGCCAAGACCUGUUCGUGUCCCAAAGGGGAGGAUCUCACAGCACCUAGAUUCGGGCUGAUUGGAAGCCAGACCCUCAGACAGCAGCUUUUAAAGUGUGCAAAGCUAAUCAGUCCUGUGGGACCACCAGCAUCAGCCCUCAUGGCUACCAGGGCCAGGUGAUCUGGAGGCAUCCUCUGAGUGGCGGUUGGAAAAGAAGAGCUCCAGAUGAGUGUACAAGCUCUCUUCUGGGAGAUACGAAGGACAAAUGUAGGUGCGCAUUCCACGUUCGUUGAGAGCAGCUCCAUCCGCCACUAGAUGCGUGCCAAACCUGAAGCCUUCCCCUCAGGCCCAAGGUCCAGGACGAGUCAACCGACCUCUUCUACUGAGAGAGGGGUGCGUUUCAAUCUCUGGCACCGCCCUGACCGUGGUAUCUUGCCAGACCUGUGACUGUUAUAACCCCGUGGGACCCAGGCCUCUCCCGGGCCAUGAAACCCCUGUGAGCAAGGAAGGCCCCCUGGGCAGAGGCCGCAAAAAUCAGGGCACCAAAAGCAUGUGAAAGUUUCCUUCUGGAAGAUGGGGGGGAGGGGGUGGCUUGAGAGCACGGCAGAAGGGGGAGUGAGAAGAUGGUAUCCUUUGGCUGUGGUGAGAUGAGGGGGAGCGCCAAGACGGUGCCUCCCCCCCCAAAAAAAAAGAGAAGAAAAAGAAAGCCUAAUGUUAGGGAGCCUGGUCUGGAUCACCCCGGGGAAGAACCAGGAGGCACUCCGAGAUCUUGGAAGGCAGGCGGUUUAUUUUAGGCCGGCUCAGAGGAGAUCACGCUCCGGAGACGGAAGAAGUGGAUACCAGCUCAGCUCUGUAGCUGGGUAGAACUGUUGGCUGGGAUCCUUACUAGAGCAUCACUGCAAGGAGGAUUGUGGUCUGCCAAGAUCUGAGUGCGAUUGUUGUAAGCUCCACCUGCUUUUCUGUUUCAAUUUGAUCUUCAAUGGUCAAGCUUCACAGACUGCCCGACUGAGCCUCCUGAGAAGUCUCCUGCAAUGCUAGGGGGAGUUGGAUGUCCACCUUGGGCUCUCUUUAUCCUACUGGAAUAAGUGUAAGCCUGGGCAAACUGUCUCAGUGCAGCACUGUGCUGGUCUGGAGGAGGGAUGAUGUGGUCAGAGUGUAGCUGUUCCUCUUACUCUUUUAAUAUGGUCCUUCUUGCUAUAUAUGGUCCAAGGGGUGAUUCAGACUCACCUCUGUGUUCUGGGUUUUUCACCAUGGUGUCUUAUCUAUGGAUAGUUGCUGGCUGGUCUUCUUGUAUAAGGCUAAAGUUUGGUAACAGCCUAUGUUUCGAUCUUGAUGAUGUCAUCCCCCCAUAAAAAUAUUAGUGAAAACCAGUAAAAUGAAAAGCUAUAAGCAAUAGAUAAAAUGAA